rnacentral:rRNA from 1 species
UAGGGAAUCUUCCGCAAUGGGCGAAAGCCUGACGGAGCAACGCCGCGUGAGUGAUGAAGGUCUUCAGAUCGUAAAACUCUGUUAUUAGGGAAGAACAAAUGUGUAAGUAACUAUGCACGUCUUGACGGUCCCUAAUCAGAAAGCCACGGCUAACUACGUGCCAGCAGCCGCGGUAAUACGUAGGUGGCAAGCGUUAUCCGGAAUUAUUGGGCGUAAAGCGCGCGUAGGCGGUUUUUUAAGUCUGAUGUGAAAGCCCACGGCUCAACCGUGGAGGGUCAUUGGAAACUGGAAAACUUGAGUGCAGAAGAGGAAAGUGGAAUUCCAUGUGUAGCGGUGAAAUGCGCAGAGAUAUGGAGGAACACCAGUGGCGAAGGCGACUUUCUGGUCUGUAACUGACGCUGAUGUGCGAAAGCGUGGGGAUCAAACAGG